GACGAACGCUGGCGGCGUGCUUAACACAUGCAAGUCGAACGGAAAGGCCCUGCUUUUGUGGGGUGCUCGAGUGGCGAACGGGUGAGUAACACGUGAGUAACCUGCCCUUGACUUUGGGAUAACUUCAGGAAACUGGGGCUAAUACCGGAUAGGAGCUCCUGCUGCAUGGUGGGGGUUUGAAAGUUUCGGCGGUUGGGGAUGGACUCGCGGCUUAUCAGCUUGUUGGUGGGGCAGUGGCUUACCAAGGCUUUGACGGGUAGCCGGCCUGAGAGGGUGACCGGCCACAUUGGGACUGAGAUACGGCCCAGACUCCUACGGGAGGCAGCAGUGGGGAAUAUUGCACAAUGGGCGGAAGCCUGAUGCAGCAACGCCGCGUGCGGGAUGACGGCCUUCGGGUUGUAAACCGCUUUCGCCUGUGACGAAGCGUGAGUGACGGUAAUGGGUAAAGAAGCACCGGCUAACUACGUG
rnacentral:rRNA from 1 species